UACGUAGGGGGCUAGCGUUGUCCGGAUUUAUUGGGCGUAAAGGGCGCGCAGGCGGCUCAUUUUGUCAGGCGUGAAAUCCCGAGGCUCAACCUCGGGUCUGCAGUCGAUACGAGCAAACUAGAGUGUUGCAGGGGAGACUGGAAUUCCUGGUGUAGCGGUGAAAUGCGCAGAUAUCAGGAGGAACACCGGUGGCGAAGGCGGGUCUCUGGGCAACAACUGACGCUGGAGGAGCG
rnacentral:rRNA from 1 species